GUGGAAGGAACAGAAGAAAGACGAACAGGAGAGCGUGGAGGAGAAUGAGGAGCAGCAAAAGAGCAAGAAGGAACAGGAGAAUAGGGAGGAGGGGGUGUGGAAAGAAUAGCAGAAGGAACAGGAAAGCGUGGAGGAGAAUGAGGAGGAAAGAGAUCAGUGUAAAGAGGAAGUUGUGUGUAAGAAGGCAGGUCAAAGCGGGGUACCUCAAUGCCAGAGGUGGGGGGGCCAACUUCCAGAACGUGGGAAGUGGCUCGCUCAAAGCGAGUCCUCCAACGCCUAGGUGGACGACCGUGCACAGCAACUGUGUGUGAAGGUCAGAGAACAGACAUUUGGAACUCACUUCAUCUUCUUCAUUCAAACUACAACAGGAGGCCUGUAACACUAAGCACCUAAACUGCAUUCAUGCUCACAUUAGCUGCACUAACCACCCUGCAUCACAUGCAUCAUCUACUAGUCAGGUUUCUACCAUGUUUUCACACAUGACAGGAAAUGCUGCACUUAGUACAACAGUAUCAAUAGUUUUUAGCUCUUUAAAAGUACAAACUUAGACGUCUUCUUCACACGUGUUUGUCUCAUUGAAACGAGACAUAUUCUCUACACUUGUCUGACAAACAAACACAUUUUUGCCGCAAAUGGAAAAUAUAGCGCUUGGUAAAAAAAAGUUUAGCUUAGCAAGCUAACACGGGCACCUUGUUGCCAUGGUGAUUAAGAAUGGGCGCCGAGUCGCCAUCUUUAUUUUUAUUUUUACCAAACCUCCAACGAUAAAUGGGGAAGA